rnacentral:rRNA from 1 species
CCUACGGGUGGCAGCAGUGGGGUAUCUUGCACAAUGGGGGGAACCCUGAUGCAGCGACGCCGCGUGGGUUCCUUCUCUUUUCGGCGCGUCCCUCCCUCUCUUCCUUUCCUCCUUCUUCCUUUCCCUUCCUCCGCCGCCCCGGCUCCCUCCGUGCCCGCCGCCGCGGUCCUCCGUCGGGGGCCCGCGUUCUCCGGAUUUACUGGGUGUACCGGGGGCGCAGCCGGCAGCGCCCGCCAGGAGUUAACGCCCUGGGCCCCCCCCCGGGACUGCUCUUGGAACUGCGCGGCUGGAGUGCAGGAGGGGCAGGCGGAAUUCCUGGUGUAGCGGUGAAAUGCGUAGAUAUCAGGAGGAACACCGGGGGCGAAGGCGGCCUGCUGGACUGCGACUGACGUGGAGGCCCGAAAGCGUGGGGAGCAAACAGGAUGAGAGACCCGAGUAGUC